GUGGGUGUAGCUCAGUUGGUUAGAGCACCUGUCUGUGGCACAGGGGGUCGUGGGUUCGAAUCCCAUCACUCACCCA
rnacentral:tRNA from 1 species